rnacentral:rRNA from 1 species
UACGUAGGUGGCAAGCGUUGUCCGGAUUUACUGGGCGUAAAGAGCGCGCAGGCGGUCGUUCAAGUCGCGUGUGAAAGCCCCCGGCUCAACUGGGGAGGGUCACGCGAUACUGAUCGACUCGAAGGCAGGAGAGGGAAGUGGAAUUCCCGGUGUAGUGGUGAAAUGCGCAGAUAUCAGGAGGAACACCCGUGGCGAAAGCGGCUCUCUGGGACGGUACUGACGCUGAGACGCGAAAGCGUGGGGAGCAAACAGG